AGAGUUUGAUCAUGGCUCAGACUGAACGCUGGCGGCAUGGCUAAAGCAUGCAAGUCGAACGGGCCCGCAAGGGCCAGUGGCGGACGGGUUAGUAAUGCGAUCGAACGUACCCCGAGGUGGGGGAUAGCGGUGGGAAACUGCCGGUAAUACCCCCGAGUCCUGGAUAGCAGUGGGAAACCGCUGGUAACACAGGAUGACAUCGGUAGUCCGCAUGGCCGGCCGAUCAAAGUUUACGCUCGGGGAGCAGGAUACAUCCUAUCAGCUUGUUGGUGAGGUAACGGCUUACCAAGGCGAAGACGGGUAGCGGGUGUGAGAGCAUGACCCGCCGCAUCGGGACUGAGACACUGCCCGGACUCCUACGGGAGGCUGCAGUAACGAAUAUUCCGCAAUGCGCGAAAGCGUGACGGAGCAAUGCCGCGUGCGGGAUGAAGCCCCUUGGGGUGUAAACCGCUGUCAGGGUUUAGGAAUCAAUGACCAGACCCAAAGGAAGGACCGGCUAACUCUGUGCCAGCAGCCGCGGUAAUA
rnacentral:rRNA from 1 species